UGCUUUUGGUUCAGUGGUAAAAUGCUUGCCUGCCACGCCGGCGCCCCGGGUUCGAUUCCCGACCGAGGCAU